rnacentral:lncRNA from 1 species
GAGGCCCCAGCACAAAGAGGAUUAGAGAGAUGAGCUAAUCUGGUUUGUAUCCCAGACAUGGCCCCAGAAAGGGACCUUGUCCACCCUGAUAUGUAAGGAUGUGAAGGAGUGAGGAGUCUUUCUUUGGGGGCCUGCUGGCUAACAGUACCAGAGACCCCACUCCACUGGAGUCCCUGGGAUACUGCAGUCCUGACUUCAGGGUCAGAUUUAGGAAGCAGAAAGACGGUCGGUCCCACAGAAGGAACUAGAUCUCUACCCUACUUGUUUCACCAGUGGGGAAACUGAGGCCUGAAGUGGGAAAGUGAUUUACAGAGUCAUGCCAAUAGUGCAUGGCUGAGUUGGGGGAAAAAACCCUCAGGUUUUCUGACUUUUUACUGGUCCAGUGCUCCCUGCACUGUGUUGCAGGAGCUGCAAGGGAGAGGUAUGAGACAGAGAGAGGGCAAGAGAAAGAGAGAGACGAAGACAGAAGCAAACAUACACACCAAGGAAAAUAGAGGUGCGCACACACCCACAUGCACAGAGAGACGGAGAAAGCCACAGAGAGUCAGAAACAACAUGGAGAGACAGAUGGAGAGAGUGAAGAAAGAGCAAGACAAACGGUCAUACAGAUUCAUACAGAGAGAUACACACGGAGAGACAGGGAGUGACACAAUCUGACAGGGAGACAGGCAAGAGACAGGGAUUCAGAAAGAGAAGGACAGAGACAUUCAGACAGGGAGGGGGAGGCAGGCCAACUUAGACACAUAGAGAGACAAAUGAAGACAGGGAGAUAAACACAAGAGACAGAUGCAAAUAGACAGAGAAUGACAGAAACAAGAGCCAGAGAGAGACCCAGGGAGAUGGAGACUCAGAGAAGAGACAUGGGGAGAGUA